GAUGAACGCUGGCGGCGUGCCUAAUACAUGCAAGUCGAGCGAACAGACGAGGAGCUUGCUCCUCUGACGUUAGCGGCGGACGGGUGAGUAACACGUGGAUAACCUACCUAUAAGACUGGGAUAACUUCGGGAAACCGGAGCUAAUACCGGAUAAUAUAUUGAACCGCAUGGUUCAAUAGUGAAAGACGGUUUUGCUUUCACUUAUAGAUGGAUCCGCGCCGCAUUAGCUAGUUGGUAAGGUAACGGCUUACCAAGGCAACGAUGCGUAGCCGACCUGAGAGGGUGAUCGGCCACACUGGAACUGAGACACGGUCCAGACUCCUACGGGAGGCAGCAGUAGGGAAUCUUCCGCAAUGGGCGAAAGCCUGACGGAGCAACGCCGCGUGAGUGAUGAAGGUCUUCGGAUCGUAAAACUCUGUUAUUAGGGAAGAACAAAUGUGUAAGUAAAUAUGCACGUCUUGACGGUACCUAAUCAGAAAGCCACGGCUAACUACGUG
rnacentral:rRNA from 1 species